rnacentral:piRNA from 1 species
UAUAUGGUACUCACUGCA